GACGAACGCUGGCGGCGUGCCUAAUACAUGCAAGUAGAACGCUGAAGAGAGGAGCUUGCUCUUCUUGGAUGAGUUGCGAACGGGUGAGUAACGCGUAGGUAACCUGCCUUGUAGCGGGGGAUAACUAUUGGAAACGAUAGCUAAUACCGCAUAACAAUGGAUGACACAUGUCAUUUAUUUGAAAGGGGCAAUUGCUCCACUACAAGAUGGAACUGCGUUGUAUUAGCUAGUAGGCGAGGUAAUGGCUCACCUAGGCGACGAUACAUAGCCGACCUGAGAGGGUGAUCGGCCACACUGGGACUGAGACACGGCCCAGACUCCUACGGGAGGCAGCAGUAGGGAAUCUUCGGCAAUGGGGGCAACCCUGACCGAGCAACGCCGCGUGAGUGAAGAAGGUUUUCGGAUCGUAAAGCUCUGUUGUAAGUCAAGAACGGGUGUGAGAGUGGAAAGUUCACACUGUGACGGUAGCUUACCAGAAAGGGACGGCUAACUACGUG
rnacentral:rRNA from 1 species